GACAGAGGGUGCAAACGUUGUUCGGAAUCACUGGGCUUAAAGGGCGCGUAGGCGGGUCGUCAAGUCAGGGGUGAAAUCCUGCGGCUCAACCGUAGAAGAGCCUUUGAUACUGACGAUCUUGAGGGAGGUAGGGGCGUGCGGAACUUCCGGUGGAGCGGUGAAAUGCGUAGAUAUCGGAAGGAACGCCGAUGGCGAAAGCAGCGCGCUGGACCUCUUCUGACGCUGAGGCGCGAAAGCUAGGGGAGCAAACGGG
rnacentral:rRNA from 1 species